rnacentral:rRNA from 1 species
UACGGAGGAUCCGAGCGUUAUCCGGAUUUAUUGGGUUUAAAGGGUGCGCAGGCGGGAGAUUAAGUCGGCGGUGAAAUUUUGCAGCUCAACUGUAAAAGUGCCUUCGAUACUGGUGGUCUUGAGUGUGGAUGAGGUAGGCGGAAUUUGUGGUGUAGCGGUGAAAUGCAUAGAUAUCACGAGGAACUCCGAUUGCUAAGGCAGCUUACUAAGCAAUAACUGACGCUCAAGCACGAAGGCGUGGGGAUCAAACAGGAUUAGAUA